CACGCUGUAAACGAUGAUCACUCGUUUUUGGCAAUACAUCGUCAGAGACUAAGCGAAAGCAUUAAGUGAUCCACCUGGGGAGUACGUUCGCAAGAAUGAAACUCAAAGGAAUUGACGGGGGCCCGCACAAGCGGAGGAACAUGUGGUUUAAUUCGAUGAUACGCGAGGAACCUUACCUGGGCUUAAAUGUAUAGUGCAUAAUAUGGAAACAUAUUUUUCCUUCGGGACUCUUUACAAGGUGC
rnacentral:rRNA from 1 species